rnacentral:rRNA from 1 species
UACAGAGGGUGCAAGCGUUAAUCGGAAUUACUGGGCGUAAAGCGCGCGUAGGUGGUUCGUUAAGUUGGAUGUGAAAUCCCCGGGCUCAACCUGGGAACUGCAUUCAAAACUGACGAGCUAGAGUAUGGUAGAGGGUGGUGGAAUUUCCUGUGUAGCGGUGAAAUGCGUAGAUAUAGGAAGGAACACCAGUGGCGAAGGCGACCACCUGGACUGAUACUGACACUGAGGUGCGGAAAGCGUGGGGAGCAAACAGG